rnacentral:rRNA from 1 species
CAGUCGCCGCGGUAAUACGGAGGGUGCAAGCGUUAAUCGGAAUUACUGGGCGUAAAGCGCACGCAGGCGGUCUGACAAGUCAGAUGUGAAAUCCCCGGGCUUAACCUGGGAACUGCUUUUGAAACUGUCAGGCUGGAGUCUUGUAGAGGGGGGUGGAAUUCCAGGUGUAGCGGUGAAAUGCGUAGAGAUCUGGAGGAAUACCGGUGGCGAAGGCGGCCCCCUGGACAAAGACUGACGCUCAGGUGCGAAAGCGUGGGGAGCAAACAGGAUUAGAUACCCCGGUAGUCCCUGUCUCUUAUAC